rnacentral:lncRNA from 1 species
UUGCUGUGGCUGUGGUGUAGGCUGGCAGCUGUAGCUCUGAUUAGAACCCUAGCCUGGGAAUCUCCAUAUGCCGCGGUGCAGCUCUAAACAAGCAAAGAAAAAAAAAAAAAAGAUGAAAUAAAACGUUUUAAAAAAACCACAAGAGCUGACAGAAUUAAUCACCAUCAAAUCAAAUCACUACUACAAGAAAUGUCAAAGGCAGGAGAAAAAUAUGCCAGAUGGAUAUUUAGAUCUGUGUAAAAGAAUGAAGAGAAUCAGAAAUAUGUAUAGAAGAUAGUAGAAUUCUUAUAUUUGAAUAAAGCCAUUUAAAAGAUAAGUGACUGUUUAGAACAAAUAAUAAAACUGUAUUGUGGGAUUUAUGACGUGGAAAAAUAAAACAUAUGACAGCAGUUGCCCAAAAGAUUGGGAAAAGAAAAAUAGAAUUAUACUAUUCUAAGGUUCUUAUAGCAUGCAAAGUGGUAUAUUACUUGAAGGCAGAUUGUGAUAAGUUAAAGAUGUAUACCCUAAAUCCUAAACCACUUUUAAAAAGCAAAGACAUAUAGUGGAGUUCCCAUCAUGUCGGAUUCAUUUCCAUUGCGCCAUGACAGGAAUUCCACAUGUAUAGAUUCUUUUUUCUCACAUUCAUGCUCCAUCAUAAGUGACUAGACAUAGUUCCUAGUGCUACACAGCAGGAUCUCAUUGCUAAUCCAUUCCAAGACAGUAGUCUGCAGCAAGAUGAUUUUAAUCUAACAAUAUAAAUAAUCUCAUUAAAUGCAAAUGAUCUAAACACUACAAUUAAUAGGUGGAAAUUAUCAAUUUCAUUUAAAAGUAAGAACUGAUUGGGUGUUAUGUACAAGAAACCCACUUAAAUAUAUUUUAAGACAGGCUAAAAGUACAGGGAUGGGAGAAGAUAUACUAUGCAGUCACUAAUCAGAAGAAAGCAGAAGUUACUAUGUUAAUAUUCGACAGAGUGGGUAUAGAACUUUAAAAUACAUGAAGCAAAAGUAAUAAAACUGAAAGGAGAAAUAGUUCACUGGUAUAGUUGGGUAUUUCAAUACUACUCUCUCAAAAUAUUGAGAGAACAAUUAGACCUCCCCCCAAAAAAAUCAGUAAGUAACUUGACCUUUACACAACACUCCACCCAACAUCAUGAUACAUAUAUAUUUUUUAGCAUUCACACAGUGUUUGCAAAGGUAGACCGUAUUCUGGGCCAUAAAACUAGUUUCAAUAAAUUCAUGAUUUGAAUUAUACAAAGUAUGUUCUUUUUGUCAUAAAGGACAGUAAUAGAAAAAUAUCUGGAAAAU